ACGCAGAUGAGUCGCAGGGAUGUUUGCAGCUUGAAGCAAAUACCGAGUAUUAAGAUGAUUCAUCAAAAUUGACUUGAGAGUGGAGUGUGCAGAGCUGUGAGUGACCUGUGGAUGUGGGUUUUUUUUUCUUUUCUUUUUUGUCCCUACUUUUAAUGUUCGUAAAUUUGCCUUGUUAUUUGACAACCAUUAAAUGAGACUUUGAAACCGCAA